AUUGAACGCUGGCGGCAGGCCUAACACAUGCAAGUCGAACGAGUGGCGGACGGGUGAGUAAUGUCUGGGAACCUGCCCGCUGGAGGGGGAUAACUACUGGAAACGGUAGCUAAACCCGCAUACCAUCGGGUUUGCCCAGAUGGGAUUUGCUAGUGGGUGGGGUAAAGGCUCACCUAGGCGACGAUCCCUAGCUGGUCUGAGAGGAUGACCAGCCACACUGGAACUGAGACACGGUCCAGACUCCUACGGGAGGCAGCAGUGGGGAAUAUUGCACAAUGGGCGAAAGCCUGAUGCAGCCAUGCCGCGUGUAUGAAGAAGGCCUUCGGUUUGUAAAGUACUUUCAUCGAGGAGGCGGUACUCGCAGAAGAAGCACCGGCUAACUCCGUGCCAGCAGCCGCGGUAAUAC
rnacentral:rRNA from 1 species